rnacentral:rRNA from 1 species
UACGUAGGGGGCAAGCGUUGUCCGGAAUUAUUGGGCGUAAAGCGCGCGCAGGCGGUCAAUUAAGUUGGGUGUUUAAGCCCGGGGCUCAACCCCGGUUCGCAUCCAAAACUGGUUGACUUGAGUGUAGGAGAGGAAAGUGGAAUUCCACGUGUAGCGGUGAAAUGCGUAGAGAUGUGGAGGAACACCAGUGGCGAAGGCGACUUUCUGGCCUAUGACUGACGCUGAGGCGCGAAAGCGUGGGGAGCAAACAGG